UAGUGGUCCUGGAAAUGUCUUCUACCAACCACCCCCCAGCUGCCUAGGACCUCCAGGUGUGGAUGCAGCUUGGAAUCAAGGGAGCACUUCUAGCCCCUCUUCUUCUCAGUCCUGGCAGGGUGGUUUCCCAACACCCUCAACACAUUCAUGAUGAAUGAGAGGACCUGCACUGUCUGUGACCACUUUCUCUUCAGCCAAGGAGGAAGCCUUGCUGUCUCUGGCUGUGACAUCUUCUUGCAGAUCCCUUAAUCAACAACUCCCAGAGCCUCCAGACCCAAGAUGCACUUUGGAACCCCAGGACAAUCCUGAACUGGCACCCGCCCUGGUGUGUGCCCUUUGCUGCUGCUACUUUGGAAUCAUCUCCUAAGCUAUGGCCACCACUUCUUCAAGGCAGUGAUAUUUCUCUCAGGCCUGCUGUCUGGAGCGCUGGUGAUCUUCCUGCUCUUUCAUAAGUGCUGCAGAUACAGCUGAGACUGGAGACACAGGUGAACUUCUUGACUUUGAACAUAGACUGCUCAGAAGGCUGAGGGUGAACCAUUACAAAUGAACUGAUCCUGGUUGUUCUGCAGGCAAGUCUUUCUAAUUUUUCCAUAGCAAUACCCCAUAUGAAACCACUCAACUUACUCAACUAACCAAGGAAUAUACAUGAUUCACUCAAUGUAGACAGAUGUAAAGGCUUUUUACAUUUUUGCUACAUCCACACAUUUGACGUCCAGUCAGGAAAGCCCAGCUGAAGUUAAUAUAAAACCUGUUGUAGAGAAUGCAAGAAGCUCCCAUGAUGCUACCAGGAUAAAUGAAGACAGCAGCAGAAGAGAGGAAUGUGUUGCACGCACAGAAGUGAUCAUUCAAAAAGCAUCACUCCCACACUAGCUGUUUGUUGAAUUCUUGAAAGAAUAUAGUUGCCCUAUGCUGAUACCCACAAGCAAAGCGUGAGAGAGUUCUUAUAGAAUUUGACAGCUUUUUCCAUGAGCCUGAGGAAUGUUCAUAAGG